rnacentral:misc_RNA from 1 species
AACGCACAUUGCGCCCAUCAGCAUUCUGGUGGGCAUGCCUGUUCGAGCGUCAUUUCGACCCUUAAGCCUUUGUUGCUUAGUGUUGGGAGCCUACAGGGGAUGCUUAUCCCCCGUAGCUCCUCAAAGAUAGUGGCGGAGUUGGUCUCGCACCCUAGACGUAGUAGAACUUAUCUCGUCUGUGGUCGUGCCAGCACCCUGCCGUAAAAGACCCCAAUUUCUCAAGGUUGACCUCGGAUCAGGUAGGAAUACCCGCUGAACUUAA